UGCAGCAGAAAUGAGGAGUUACAGCCUGGUGCCUCCUUCCACCUGCAUACCUCCCUGGAGGACUUCAUGUGAAGUUUGCUAGCUGCCUGCAGUCUCAGCCUUAAGCCUGAAAGAAAAUCACCAUCUACUACCAACCGAACUUCACCCCCAGGUAGUUAUUUCUGUUCUCAGCUCUGGACCCACUGAACAUUGCUUUCUUAUGGUUACUCAGCCAGGCUUGGGAGUGGUGCACAAACAUUUCUAGGACAUUUUGGAAGAUACCACCAAAACUUUACCAGAAAGCAAAAAGAAAAGUGCAAGAGAUCUCACCAACUCUGCCAGCUCCCCACUGGAGAGCACUGGAGGUCCAGGACCAUGCUCCAUGGCAGAGAGAGGAGAGCACCAAAGAAGAACCAACAGAAGCCAUAAUGAAGCUAUUAGCCUGCCCUUGGGUGGACCAGGUGGCCUUUAGACCACACCAGGAGAUGCAGAAUGAGCACUGGGGCAAUGUGCGAAGGUCCUCCAGUGGUGGGAUACACAGCCACUCACUGAGUGAGUGCUGACAGCCACCCAGGAGGAAGUUCUUUAGGUCCCAAAUCUGGCUCCUGACUGUCAGCACUGGGACUGGGUGCUUUGAAAUGAGACUCAAAGGGAAACAGGGUGUAUCUUCAUGUCAUCAGUUUGUACAGGGAAGCCAAUGAUUUGUAGUGGGUACCAUGUGCUGUUGCACUGGAGUUACUCUCUAAUUACACAACACUGGCACUUUCCGAUACUUGCAGUAAUCAUUAAAUCUAUAAUCACCACAUUUCCUACAUGUUUGAGAAUCUCUCCCCUGUUAAUACAAUAUAAUUAAACCAGCCCCUGUUUUAACAGUAUCUCCAUUAAAAAAGAACACCGAAGAGACCAGAAUAGGUGAAGAGAGGUUAAUAAUAGGUCAUGUGGUUAAUCUUCCAGUUACAAGGGCAAACACUAAUUACAGGACUGGGAAGGAAAAGGGCAGCCUGAUUGCAGUGUGAUUAUGGUGACCUUGUUAAGAGUGAUCCAAGCCAUGGUGAGGCCUCAAUAAAUAAAUAAAGAUAAUACAUCCCUUAGCAUGUCCCUGUGGAUGUCAGAUGAAUGCUGAGAGUGGGCCAUGCUAUUCUCCAGCCCCGUCUCACCACAGCGGGAUUGCUGGCUUCUCGCUCUGCUCACUGAGAAAAACAAAAGCACCAGCUCCUGAUAACAGAUAUAUCAUUUUGGCUUCUAAUGGGCCCCACAGUACAGUGUGUUACAAAUUAAAGUGAACUUCAGCACGCUCGUGCAUCAGAGGUGGAGUCGAGCACUGCGACGCACCACGCUGCCAAUGGUGCUCAGGGAAUUCCCAGGCAGCUGAAGAACUGUUACUUACCAUUGAGAUGGAAAAAUGAUAAAACCUCAAGCUUCUCCUGCACUUUUUAUAACCCCAAGUAUAAACCGUGCAGCCCAGGAAAAUGUAUCCCGCAGAUUAUAACAGUUUAAUUAUCUCAGGAGAGAACUUGAUGUCUGUGCUGCAAACUGGUCCAUGGAGAAAUUACUAGACUCCCAAAUUUAAU
rnacentral:lncRNA from 7 species